CCUACGGGAGGCAGCAGUGAGGAAUAUUGGUCAAUGGGCGCGAGCCUGAACCAGCCAAGUAGCGUGAAGGAUGACUGCCCUACGGGUUGUAAACUUCUUUUAUAAAGGAAUAAAGUGAGGCAAGUGUGCCUUUUUGUAUGUACUUUAUGAAUAAGGAUCGGCGAAAUCCGUGACAGCAGCCGCGGUAAUAAGGAGGAUAAGAGCGUUAUCCGGAUUUGAUGGGUUUAAAGGGAGCGUAGAUGGGUUUUUAAGUCAGGUGUGAAAGUUUGGGGCUCAACCGUAAUAUUGCAAUUGAUACUAGCAGUCUUGAGUACGGUAGAGGUAGGCGGAAUUCGUGGUGUAGCGGUGAAAUGCUUAGAUAUCACGAAGAACUCCGAUGGCGAAGGCAGCUUACUAAGCUGCCACUGACAUUGAGGCUCGAAAGUGUGGGGAUCAAACAGGAUUAGAUACCCGAGUAGUC
rnacentral:rRNA from 1 species